rnacentral:rRNA from 1 species
CUGAUUUAUUAUUAAAUGGCCGCAGAAUUUUAACUGUGCAAAGGUAGCAUAAUCACUAGUCUUUUAAUUGAGGGCUUGAAUGAAUGAUUGAACGAGAUAUAAGCUGUCUCAAAUUUAAUAUAAUUAUUUAGAAUUUUAUUUUUUAGUUAAAAAGCUAAAAUUUUUUUAAAAGACGAGAAGACCCUAUAGAUCUUUAUAUAUUAUUAGAAUAUUUUUUUUAGGAUUUUUUUUGAAAUAUUAUGGUUUUAUAUUUUAUUGGGGCGAUAUUGAAAUUUAAUAAACUUUCAUUUAUUGAAUGCCAAAGAUUAUUGAUAUUUUUUGAUCCUUUAUUAUUGAUUAAUAAUUUAAGUUACCUUAGGGAUAACAGCGUAAUUAUUUUGGAGAGUUCAUAUCGAUAAAAUAGAUUGCGACCUCGAUGUUGGAUUAAGAUUAAUUUUAGGCGUAGCAGUUUAGAAUAUUGAGUCUGUUCGACUCUUAAUUUCUUACAUGAUCUG